rnacentral:rRNA from 1 species
AUUGAACGCUGGCGGCAGGCCUAACACAUGCAAGUCGAGCGGAUGAGUGGAGCCUGCUCCAUGAAUCAGCGGCGGACGGGUGAGUAAUGCCUAGGAAUCUGCCUGGUAGUGGGGGACAACGUUUCGAAAGGAACGCUAAUACCGCAUACGUCCUACGGGAGAAAGCAGGGGACCUUCGGGCCUUGCGCUAUCAGAUGAGCCUAGGUCGGAUUAGCUAGUUGGUGGGGUAAAGGCCUACCAAGUCGACGAUCCGUAACUGGUCUGAGAGGAUGAUCAGUCACCCUGGAACUGAGAGACGGGCCAGGUUCCUACGGGAGGCAGUAGUGGGGAAUAUUGGACAAUGGGCGAAAGCCUGAUCCAGCCAUGCCGCGUGUGUGAAGAAGGUCGUCGGAUUGUAAAGCACUUUAAGUUGGGAGGAAGGGCAGUAAGCUAAUACCUUGCUGUUUUGACGUUACCAACAGAAUAAGCACCGGCUAACUUCGUGCCAGCCGCCGCCGUAACAC